ACCAAGUCUUCUCCUCUUCUCACAAUCCCAGAACAAAUUUCAAAACCCAAAUCGUUCCCGUCGGGGAACCAUGUCAAGAAUUUGGUAUCAAACACGUCUUCUCUUCUCAAUACCCAGAGCAAUUGCACAACCCAGUUCUCAUCCUGGAUUCGUUCCCGUCGUCGUUCUCCACCACCUCCUACGCUGUCGCUCCCACCACCUCCAUUUUGGAAAGGUCAGGGAAUUUAAACCUAGUUCUUUGCUAUGGAUGUUGGGGCAGAUUCUGUAGAUAGCUCCCUUGUUCUGGUGAAGUAAGGAGCUGAAGCUAGGGUUUUUAAGUCAACCUUUGUGGGAAGGAGGUCUAUUGUCAAGGAAUGGUUUUCGAAGAAGUACAGGCAUCCUACUUUGGAUGCAAAACUUACACUCAGGCGCCUCAAUCCUGUCUGUUUCUGUUUAUUCCCAAUUGGGUUUUGUCUGAGUCAAAUUAUUGGAGCAGGAGGCGAGGUGCAUGAGGAAAGCAAGACGGCUUGGGGUGCAUAUAUACUCUGGUGCUUUACAAUGUGGACACUGUGUUGCAUACCCUGACAUUGAAUAUGUGGAGGGGCCUUCUGUUAAAGAUGUGUUUCUUGAGUUUGGGUUAGGAGGUGGCCGUGUGGCUUCAGAAAUUGUUGUUAUUUAUGAUUGGUAGAUUUUGCUUUUAUUUAUUCUCUAGGAAUAGUUGUUGAUUGUUGUUUAUGAUUUUUUGAAACUUAAGAGUUCAUGCGUUCUUUGUUCUAAGAUACGGUAAAAGGUGAUCAAGAAGAAGCUCCAGCCAAUAUGCAGUCUCCUAAUCUAAAUAUGACAGAUGAUGUCGGGGUGUCUGUGAUAUAUAACUUUGUCUCAACAGGUUGAAACUACCAAGUGUUGAUAACAGUUCCUCACAGGUUUACAAACAGCGCGCGAAUCAACAAUCUGCUUACGUACCAACCGUAGAUGAACUCUACUUUUAACUUGAGAGUAUAAGGAUGUUGAACAUUAUUAUUUUGGUUGAUUUGGCAACUUUUGGUGUAUAUUUUGUUGAGCAUG